UACGUAGGGGGCAAGCGUUGUCCGGAUUUAUUGGGCGUAAAGAGCUCGUAGGCGGUUGAGUAAGUCGGGUGUGAAAACUCUGGGCUUAACCCAGAGCCGCCACUCGAUACUGCUCUGACUUGAGUUCGGUAGGGGAGCAGGGAAUUCCUAGUGUAGCGGUGAAAUGCGCAGAUAUUAGGAGGAACACCGGUGGCGAAGGCGCUGCUCUGGGCCGAAACUGACGCUGAGGAGCGAAAGCGUGGGUAGCAAACAGG
rnacentral:rRNA from 1 species